CGAAAGUUGACAAAGUGAAAGAGUGUGAAUCUUGUUUUGUUUCAUUUUACUAAAGUAUCCCAUUGCAACUAACAGAUAAACAUGAUGAGAGUUUAUUGAAGAGCUACGGAUUGUCGAUGAAUUAUAUUUUGUCCAGAUAGAAAAUUCUCAACGUGAUAAUCAGAACGAUGAUGUUGGCGCUGUUUAAAAACAUGUAAAUCUGAUGAUUUCGGUUUAAUGCAGUGUGAUCUUUUUUACACAAACAAAUGAAGAAAAUCGUGAAUGUAUGAAACAUAUGCCGCAGAAGUGAAAUACAAAAGUGCUGGUUUACAUUCUUUUUAACAUGCCUAAAGAUUUCCAAACAUUGACAUUGUGGUGUCAAAACCAUGUACUGAAAACCUGAUUUACUUGAUAAGUACAGUACACAUGUACAUGUUCAGCUAGCAACAGAAUAAAGGGACUAAUGCUCUUCCUGCAAUGAUAACUAUACCAAACUCCCAGGUGACAGCCAAGAUACAGAUUGCAGACAGUGUCAUCAAGUCCAGUAGGAAUAGCCAUAAUAUUGCCCAGUUAGUCAGGGAUAUGGAGAAACCUGUUAUAUAUUAGAAUAGGAAGCAGCAUAUAAGCACAUAUCACCACUUUAUUGUUGAUUCAUCAAAACACAGAUGUGUUACAUCAUACUAACAAGUAAAGAAUCAUGGGACUCAUAACCUAACAUCAUCAAUAUGUUUAUAAAGAAGAAUGCUAUAAUUCACCAUUUUUAUGCCAAACAACUUAACACAUAAAGGAUUAAAUGCAGCAAGACCGUGGUAGCUCUAUGAACAAAUUGGGGAAUAUUGCUAUAAUGAAACUAAUAAUGACAAAGCCAACCAUUGCUAUAACUGAGGUUGACUUGACCGAUGAAGGAGUAUCCAAUAAACAUUUAUGUCCAUCAAGAACAGAACUUUUUAUGAAAUAAAAUACGAAAGUUUGUUUUGUCAA